GGUUAGAGAGAGGAAGAGGGAAGGCAGGAGGAGGGACUUCUUUUCGGACGAUCUGUGAGAGCAAAGCAGACAAGAUGUAGGCAGGGGACUGAUAGUUCUGGUGGCGGAAUCCACCACUGGAAGAUUUCGAACAUAGAAUAGUUGAUGAAUUUAGGAUGAUAGAGUCCGUGCCCAGCGAUUGUGUGAUCUGUUGAUUCUAAACUAAGAUUGUCGGGUGUAUUCCAUUCUGCAACGAUUCAACUGAGCGCCAGUGAAAGCUCCACUGGAUGCGGGACUAUUUUUCAAAAUUAAAGUGACCAACACUGGAGAUAAAGUAGUUGGGAUUAAACCUGAAGGCUUAUUUCACCACACUAAAGGAAAGAAAGACCACUGUAUUGUGUCUUACGAAGGCCAUGGUAGGAGGAUGGAGUGUCUGCUGAUCUAUAUGAACAAGGAGCGGCUGGAAAACCAGAAACGUAACUUCUGGAAGUUGGAGCUAUCCAUCUGGCUUACUUACUGAGAACUGUAGGCACCCGCACUGCAAGCAUUAUUUAUAUACUAAGUAAUGCAUUUAAGAUUUAUGAGGAAUGAGAAGUCACACCACACCUAGAAGGGUGUGAACACGGAAUGCCUGCACUCAGGGAGAGAUCUGCGUCAGCUGUAUUUUUGAUCAAAAGUUGUUCCCAUAGUGACAACACUCUCCCCCUUAUCAGUAUUUCUUCUUGUUACUUGGUUACCAAAAUAUGAAAUGAAUACUGAAUGCAGGUCAUGAGCAUGAGAGCGAAUAUAAAGCUAACUAGUUAUCUAGGUCUAACUCUGUCAUGAUUUUUCUUUAUAUUUUUGGUGGUGGUUAAAUACAUAAAUAUAUUCAGUGGUCUAAGUAUAGAACCCAAUAUGAAGCCCACAGCCUCCAAAUGCCUAUUGUAACUUCCCAGAAGUUCACUGAGGUAUACAAACCUUAGGUCUAAUAAAUUCACUGUGUAAUUUUUUUAUUUACAUAAUUGUUAAAAUAAAAUUUAUUAAAAUGUA
rnacentral:lncRNA from 1 species